rnacentral:lncRNA from 1 species
CCUUUGGGGUGUGGGGGGAGGGUGUGGGGUUAUAGUCAUGCAGGUAUUGAAACCUUAGCGAUCUCACAUUGAAUUCCUAGGCACUCAGUUAUUGUGUUUAAUAGGCUAGUUACUUUGGGCGACAUGGAAAACAGACUUGUGGGUAAAAUGUACAAUAUUUGUGAAGUGUAAAACUGAGCCAUGCUCAUGGUAAAGAGCAGCCUGGACCAUGACAAUUGAACUUAAAAAAUUAUUAACUUGUGGUUUAUUUAUGAUUUGUUUAUGUUAUUUUUUAUGUUAAACUUUAGCUGGUAUAAACUUACAUUAUAUUAAUAGACUACUAAUAAAAACUUUAUCAACUAAAAGUUCUUAAUGCAAUAAACUAGUCAUCCUUCCUUGUUUAAGCUUUGCAUGUCAUUAAUUUUUUCCCAAUUGCACUUAGAGCCUGUUUGUUUGAGUUUGCAGCUUUUGAGCCUUUCUAAAAAGCUCAUACGAGCUUUUUUAUUGUGAAAAUCCAACACUUUUAAAAGACGUAUUUAAACCCUGUUUGGAA